UAAGUAAGCAAAUGCAGCCUCCCUGGAUAUAAAUAUUCCCCAAUAUUUGCAGGAGUCGGUAAUCCAGGCACAAAAGUGUUCUCUGCCACGAUUCCAGCUCCGCAGUCCAGUCCCAAAGUGCUCUGUUACAGAGCGGAAGAGGCUUGCCCUCAAGGAUUCUUUUGCAUGGUGUACCAUCUAUUCGGCACACUAGCAGAUUACUUUCUCAUUGUCAGCCAAUGAAGUGGAGGUGGCUGGAAUUAGGGCAAGUAUGAACAGAGCUGUGGGGCUUGGCUGCCUUCUGAUGUCUCACUUGCCCUGUGAAGGACAGUGCUUCCUUGGGAAUCCAAGUCCCAAGACGAUUGAAUGUUUGCUCACGUUGCACUGUGGCAGAACCCCGCAGAGUGGCAUUAAAAACUAACCACCACCCAGAAACAACUUUUCUAAAGAUGAAGUUGUCUGUUUCCUAGACUGGCUCCAACUGCAUUAGAUAGCUGUUGUCAACCUUGACCUUUUGAUCCUCCCUCCCCAGUGCUGGGAUUACAGUUUGUUCCAGGAAGAAAGGUGCCAUGAGGAACGGGCCGAAUGAUCCCAUGACACAUAACAGUGAUGGGUGAAGACAGAUGAAUUGAACAAAUGAAAAGCCAUGUAGCAAUCUGAAUUAAAAAAAAAAUAAACACACACGUGAUGGAGAAAAUAAAACAAGAUAAGAUACACAGUGGCAAGGGGAAGGUGGCAGAAAGGACUUCCCUGGCUGGUGUGAAGAUGGGGGGUAAGGACCUUGAACAAGAAGAACAGUUUGGAGGAUAUUGGAGAGCCCCAGGAGAGUGGCAGUGGUGGCUUGGAUAGUGCCCACUUUGAACAACGGUAACAAAGAGGGAAAGAGAUAAAUAGACCCAAGAUAAGCCUCAGGAGC
rnacentral:lncRNA from 1 species